CCUACGGGAGGCUGCAGUGAGGAAUAUUGGUCAAUGGCCGUAAGGCUGAACCAGCCAAGUCGCGUGAAGGAAGAAGGCUCUAUGGUUUGUAAACUUCUUUUAUCGGGGAAUAAAGGUCUCCACGUGUGGGUUUUUGCAUGUACCCUAUGAAUAAGCAUCGGCUAACUCCGUGCCAGCAGCCGCGGUAAUACGGAGGAUGCGAGCGUUAUCCGGAUUUAUUGGGUUUAAAGGGUGCGUAGGCGGACAGUCAAGUCAGCGGUAAAAAUGCGGUGCUCAACGCCGUACAGCCGUUGAAACUGGCAGUCUUGAGUGGGCGAGAGGUAGGCGGAAUGCGUGGUGUAGCGGUGAAAUGCAUAGAUAUCACGCAGAACUCCGAUUGCGAAGGCAGCAUACCGGCGCCCGACUGACGCUGAGGCACGAAAGCGUGGGUAUCGAACAGGAUUAGAUACCCUUGUAGUC
rnacentral:rRNA from 1 species